rnacentral:rRNA from 1 species
AUGGAUGCUGAAGCUGCCGUUCAGCAGCUGCGUCGUGUACCGGCGGGAGAUGGACAGCCGCGGCGUCCGGUACCGGCCGAGCGACGCUUGCACGUCCGACGCGCUGGGGUCCAGCCAGAGGUGCAGGUUGGCGUCCACGAGCCACUCGGCGAUGCCGUCCACCACGCUGAUGCCGAACUCGUGCGCCUUGCCGUCGACGAGGAGGCCGAGGAACGGAGUGAGCUCGACGUCGUAGGUGGGCAGGUCGAACGCGCCGAUGGCGGACACGGGCUGCCAGUAGAGCGGGUUGAUGCCGCCCGUGUAGAUGACGGGGAACGGCACGAAGGAGCCGGCGAAGUGGUGGUCCACGCUGACGACGACCUCGCGGUACGCGGCGUUGCCCCUCUGCGUGGUGAGGUUGUUCUCCUGGAUGUAGAGGUCCGGCGGGUUGGAGUACCAGAACUCGUCGUUGGAGUGAGGGGACACGAACACCUCGAGGACCGCACGGUAGGUGCUCGACGGAAUGGUCACGAGCGUGGAGCGCGAGUCGGACGAGUUCUGGAUGCGGAACCAGUAGCCGCUGUCGCCGGUGGCCUCCGAGAUGGGCAGGAUCAGGUCCGCCGGCUGGAAGUACGACUCCGGCAGCGUCGGUGCCGCCGGACUGGCGUCGGCGACAUCACCAUCGGAGGAGGGGGGAUUUACCACAGAGAGGUAAGCCGGAGUCCCGUGGAACUCGAAGGAGACGGUGACGUUGUAGAUGCCGGUGUACUGGUCGUUGACGAGGUUCUCGAGCAUGACCGAGAGGACGCCGUCGGGCGGGGAGCUGAGGAGGGCGGAGUAGCGGGUGACCUCCUUGCGCACGGUCCAGCUGACGCCCUCGGGGGUGGGCUCGGCGGUGGUGGUGCGGAGGAGCUCGGAGCCGUCGAGCCAGACGGCGGCGACGCGGUCGUACUGGUCGCCGGCGCAGGCGGCGGAGAAGGAGAGCACGACCUGGGACCAGGGCGCGGGGCACCCGGGCGGGGGCGCAUAGGCGGCCUUGGCCGGGGGCGCGCCGUAGGUGUUGGCGAAGGAGUAGGAGAGCACCGGCACGGUGCAGGUCGGCGCGGCGGGGGGCGGGCCCUGGAGCGGGUAGGUGGGGUCGACGUACUCCUGGGCCGCCGCAUUGCCCGUGGCCGGCGGCGCGUAGCGGACGGCGUAGCGGUCGGGGGCCUCGGCGAGAGCCGGGCCGAGGAGGUGGAGGAGGAGGAGGAGAGCCAGCGGCGGCAUCUUGCGCUGCGACGGGGAAAAGGUCGCUGGCUCACUGAUGAGUGCCGAGGGCCGGGCCGGCUUGUUCAACUCGUGUUGAGUGGUGUUUUCUGGAUCUCUUUUGGAUUAUUUUUUCUGCAAUUCUGCCGUACUUCAGAUUGGUCGUUGGUGGUGCUCGUGAGUCGUGAGAUCGUGCACGGUAGUGAAUAA